GAGAUCGUGCGGCUGCACUCCAGCCUGGGCAACAGAGUGAGACUCUGUCUAAAAAAAAAAGUGUGUUCUUUAAAGUAGAAUAUUUGCUUUUUACAAUAUAGUUCUCAGAAUGAUACAGUUCCAUUUAUUCUAGAAUGUGGUGCAAACUCGACGAGAUUGGAAGAAGCUCUUUUUGUUGGGCAGCGUAGUAACAAGAAAAGAAAAGAAAAAUACCAUGGGUAUAUUAUUUAGGGAACUUUUGCUUUAUCCAAAAGUAGUCAUGAUGGCUGUAGCACAGGCUGUGAAAAAUGAGAGAGUGCAAAUCUCUCUCAUUUAAAUGUCCAGGGUGGCUUUAGUCUCCCAAGUACAAAGGCCAGAUGGCAGAGAACAGCUUAAACUGAGCCUUUAGCCUCAUUAAUAGGAGGAAGUCUUGGUACUUUUGGUGACUAAGAAACUGGAUUAUUUAAAACUUUAAUUAUCUCCUUUACUCCUGGUUUACAGAAGGCAAUGAAUAUACAACUCCUUUAGAUCCCUCUAACUGCUGCUGAAUUUUCUCUUUCUAAGCCUGCAUCCUAUCUCUUGAUUGCAUUGUCUGAAGAAGCUGUGUGAAAUUUGUCUGGUCAUUGGUUUUCUUGUCUGAUAGUGGUAUCUUGACCUCUUCACAUGUCACACUAAAUGCUGCUCAUAACCCAUCCUCGUCAUCUUUACUCAUCACUGCUUUCUUCAAGGGAGGUCUUGAAACUGCCUAACCUACCUCAUGAUCUGCUAGUCAAAAUAGUGACUCUUUGGAAGACUGGUAGUCUCUGAAUGAAUUAUCCAACGUCUGCUUCCCCACAUUAACUGCACUGUAUAGUUUUGGGAACUUUGCAGGUGCUAAAUCUUCAUGGCCAUGAAGAUGAAACACCUUGAGAAAUAGGAACACCUCUUCACUGUGUACUUGGAUCAGCCUUCUUCAACUACCAAGAAAUGCAUGAUUUCUCUGCCAACUCCAGGAAGUAGUACAGCACGAUUGAAUCCUUCAGUGAAUCUCUUCAUCAUAACAUAGGGUGUAAAAGCUCACAUCUACUCAAAAAACUCAAAUCUACUUUUUCAGUAGAUACAAGCUUACAUUGACUUAUGAAUGAUUUUCUUGUAGGCCCAACUAUGUCACGACCCUCCAGUUGAAACAAAGCAUGAGUUAUUUUUAUAUUGAGUCCUUGAACUGCUAGCCAGGUAGAUGUUUCCUUAAAGUCCAGAGCAGGAUCCAAGUCAGAUGAAGGAGGUGGCACACCUGGCUUAACUGCAGAUCAGGGAGCAUUGAACCUCUACAAUUUGCUGCAUUGGAUUUGUGCUUGGGUUUCUCACUGAAUAGUAAAUUAGAGAAAAUGCUGCUUUUACUAUUUUGCAUUUUAUAUCAACAUUAGCUGCCUGUUCCCACUCGGGUGCUGCCCAAGGCACAUGUUUCCUUGGGAUGUUUGGACAGAACGAUCUGGCUUGAUGUAUUUCUUGGGUUCUGGUACCACAUCAUAGAGUUGGUUAAAUGUAGCCAGCAGCAGUGUCAAGACAGCUGACACUGUCUUCCAAGAGUGAAUGUGUUGGCCUUUGGAACUGCUGCUAACGCCGUGUGUGGGGCAGCGAGCACAUUUUUAGGUGGUGGCAAGGCUGUAUCUGAUUGACACAGAUCUGCAAUCCCUAACACCAUAUUGCUGUUGUCCUGAAUUUUCUAACUUGGAGAAAUUUAAGGAUCUCCUGCAUUAUCUAGGCAGAGCAUAUGUUGAGGUUGUUUUGCCAGUUGUUAUCAGUGUUGAAGAAGUGCUCCUGCAAGCAAACUGUGUUAAAAGGAUUGCGACCCCAUAUGCAUCUGAUGUACACUGUGUUUUGGUGUUUGUGUUUUCAGAGUUCUAGCCAGUACUGCGCCUGAAUUUGGGAGAGAAAGGAGCCUGUGGCUGAGGUUGGCCGAGAACUGUCGCAGGCAAGAACUUGUGUGCCGAACUCUUGAAGGAGAGGCUGCUCAGCCCUGCCUUUGAAUCUGGCUGUUGAUGAUCUCCUGAUUGAGGAGCAGAUCCAGGACACCCAAUCUGAACCACUGCAGAGAAUUCUUAAAUCAUUCCCAGGGUGGACCCCUGACCCAAGCUGCACUCACCUCUGCUGUUCUCAAGUAUGUCUAUAUAGGCCUUUGUUGGUGCAUUGAUUCUUUCACCAGUGACUUGUUGAGCAACUGUUGUGUGCAAAAAAAGCACCCUAGUGGCAUUUAUCAAGGAUAGGGAGUGUCAGCAGCAUUGCUGACCAUAUGUUUAGAAUCUAACAAAAGCUAGGCAAUGGCUUCAGAGAAAACUUGCUAGCAAGUUAUCUGCACUCUGUUCUGGUUUAAAAUUUGUGUAACUCUGAAAAUGAAUGGGAUGGGGAAGGGAGAUGGUUUCAGAAAAGAAUGUCCUCUGAGUCUGUGCAUAGUAUAGAAUAAGGGGCUUCUGUCCUGAGCUGAAGGUGGAGGAGAAAAGAUGGUAGGAAUGAAAGGCAUGAAAGACAUGGCUAUCCAGUAGCAACUUGGCUCUCACCUCCCUGUUUGUGACCUUGAAGAUGAGAUGGGGUUACCCUUCAGGUUUCUCUGCCAUGAUUUCAGAUCACGGGUUUGGCUCUUUCUUCUCCCUCAUCAAACUGAUUCUAUCCCAGAUUAGCCAUCUUGAGGUCCGCGGGGGAGGAGGAACCAGCAGACCAGGCUUCCCUACCUCUCUUCCCCGAUUCCCUCAUUUCCCUCAACAAGUAGCCCGCUGUGUUGCUGUUUUCUCUGGUUGCUAAAACUACAUUGCUUACUUCUGUCCCACCAACAAUCCAGCCAGAGCCUGAGACUGAGGUGAAUACAAGAGAUGAAUUCAGAAACCUCAUCCCUGGGAUCUUUCACCUGAGUUUUUAAGCCAGUGUCCCACAUUGUCCUGGUGCCAUUCCCCUCUCAGCAAACACUCUUCAUUCAUCCCUUUUCCCCUUGGAACUGAAGUCACUAGCUGUUUUAAAAUGCCAGCGAGAUGUCCAGGCAAAGUGGCAUGAGUGAGAGGGAGGAGGCUUCAGAGCUCUUUGGGGGACCAAGAGGAGUGAUGGACCACAGGUGCUUCCUGUCAAUGCUGCUAAGAUAACGAGGGGCAGGCGCUUCCGUGGUCGGUCUUCCCGCAGGCACAACUGUUUCCCAACUGCUGUGUCACACAUGCUAUUGCUACCCCUUCCCAACCCAACCUGGCCUGGGGCAGCUGCAUUUCAAAGAGAGGGCUUCCUCUGUUCUUCAUUUAGUCCCAGCCUUAAAUUCUAUUUCAUUCAGAAGGGGAGGCACCGCUGUCGCUGGGAAAGCUGGGCUGGAGCCGGAGGAACACACAAGGCGGAGAUUUCCCAGACCACAGAGUCGCAGUUGUAAAGUUAGGAACCUGGUAGGGAACAGCUGCGGGAGCCUCCUGGGUGGGAAGUGUCCUACCUCCCCAAACCCUGCGGCUACACUUCCACGGGGCCCCCCGAGGGGGCGCCAGGCCCCGCCUCCACCUUUCUCUGCCUUCUCUUCAGUCGCUCAGUAAAUGCCCAGUGUACUCGGUGAGCCAGGUGCUGUGCUGGAUCCAUUCAAACAUAACACACAUAUUUAGUGGAAGGUCAAACAUGUAAAGAAUUGAAAUACAAUGAGAUGCAUAUGAUGGUAGACAUGAACUAGUGCCCUAGGAGCCAAGUGUUCCUCGAAAGACCCAUUCGGAUGAAGGGUCCCUCACUAGCCAUGACCAUUUCCUCUCCUUUGUUUCCCUUAUUUCUACUCUAGCCACCACCCGCAGCACCAGUGACCACCCACUAUCUCCAGUGCCUUCUGCCUCAGAGAUUGGGAAUGAAUGGUGCCUAGGCUCUUCCCAGCUGAAGAAGUGGGAGGCAGAGUGCCCAGCUGGAGAGAUCAAACACCCGUCCCUUCAGUUCACAGCAGAGCCAGGGUUUAUGACCAGACCCCUCCCUGCUGCAACCAACCCCAUCCCGCCCCCACUGUCGUGUUUACAGCGCCUUUUCAGCAGUCCCCAUCCCACUCCCCAAAGCUGCCAAAUGGGUUUAUUUUUACCUACUGGGUUGGAAAAGGGGCAAAGGCUGAGGCUGGGGCAGUUCUGUGGCGCCAGCUGAGGCUUAAAUACAAUGAGAAAGUCCCACCCUGCCAGCUCUGCCUGAAGAGAACCCAGUAGGAAAUAAAUAGCGCUGUGUGCCCUGCCUGGAUGCCUGGCCUGCAUAUGUCUGCCUGGACUCCAGCCUGUCACAUGAGCCGAGGCGGGUUAAAAAGAGAGCUCGGGUGAUCUCCCAGCUCAGGUAUCUGUCCUGGCAUGAGGAGCUGUGGGGUGAAGGUGCCAGCUUUUCUUUACAGGGCCUGGUGGACAGGGAGGCCCAGUGGGCAGGGGCAAUUUGGGUCAGGGAGGGAGUGGGCCAGGAAGGGAGCCGGACAGGUGGACUUGGCCCCAGUGCCAGUCCGCCUCCAGCUAUCAGCCUCCAGCUCUGGGCACUGGGAAAGGGUGAUAACGUUGGUAAGGACACUGUGACUGCCUAACAUUAGUAAGGGCAGAUGACUGAAAGGGAGAAAAAGCUUGGCAGAAGUUCCAGGACUAAAUCUUAAUUUGGCCAAAGCCGUUGUUUCCGUCACACCCCACCCCGUGUGCGCACGCACACACACACACCACUGCGUAUCUUUUUCUUUCCCAUAGCUUUGAUCCCCUUCAUGCAUUCCUGCCCCCUCCUCCACCCCUUCCAGUUCAGAAUGCUAGCAUCUGCCUAUCUCCAGCAACACAGACACUUCUCCCUCCUCCCACGCCUCUCUCCUGGGACUCAGGCCUGUGGCUGCUUCUCCUUUCUAGGCCUCAGUUUCCCUUUAGACAGCGUGUCUCAGAUCCCACUCCCAGGGCCCUCUAGGCAAUUUAGGCCAGAAGACAGUGGGAGGCUCCUGGGAGAAGUUUCACUUUUACUGAAGUCCCAGAACUAGGUUAAAGGAUUCAGCAAGCUGAAGACCUCCCUGUUCAGAUCUGAGUUCCCUGAGAUGUUGGGGGACCUUGAGUCGAGAGGCUCAUUUGCUCAGAUCCUCUUGGUGAGGAAAGUACCACAUAUAUUGUGGUUGGACCAGUGCAACCCCCAGGGCCUGUUCAUUGCAGUGGGUUAGCUGGAUGGGGGUGUCUAGGGAUCCUGAAGGGACAGAAAACUUGCUCUGUGGGAUGAUACGGUGCUGUGGAAUGGGGACAUGGAGGGAACAGGAGCUGUUGUAGGCCCCAAGAUGCCUGAAGUCCAGGAGCCUGAGCUAGAGCGAUGGCCAUAGCAUGGGCAGGCAGGACAUACUCAAUAGCCCUCUACUAGAUAAUAGUUGUGUUUUUUUGUUUUGUUUUGUUUUGUUUGUUUUUUUUUUUGAGAUGGAGUUAUGCUCUUGUCGC